UNGCUGUAUCGAGGCACGGAAGCCUUGA
rnacentral:piRNA from 1 species